UUCCAGACUCCUACGGGAGGCAGCAGUGGGGAAUAUUGGACAAUGGGGGGAGCCCUGAUCCAGCGACGCCGCGUGAGUGAAGAAGUAUCUCGGUAUGUAAAGCUCUAUCAGCAGGGAAGAAAGAAAUGACGGUACCUGACUAAGAAGCCCCGGCUAACUACGUGCCAGCAGCCGCGGUAAUACGUAGGGGGCAAGCGUUAUCCGGAUUUACUGGGUGUAAAGGGAGCGUAGACGGCAUGGCAAGUCAGAUGUGAAAGCCCGGGGCUCAACCCCGGGACUGCAUUUGAAACUGCCAGGCUGGAGUGCAGGAGAGGUAAGUGGAAUUCCUAGUGUAGCGGUGAAAUGCGUAGAUAUUAGGAGGAACACCAGUGGCGAAGGCGGCUUACUGGACUGUAACUGACGUUGAGGCUCGAAAGCGUGGGGAGCAAACAGGAUUAGAUACCCGUGUAGU
rnacentral:rRNA from 1 species